UACGGAGGGGACUAGCGUUGUCCGGAUUUACUGGGCGUAAAGAGCGCGCAGGCGGCUGGUCAAGUCCGAUGUGAAAUCUCCCGGCUCAACUGGGAAACUGCAUCGGAAACUGAUCGGCUUGAAGAUGGGAGAGGGUAGUGGAAUUCCCGGUGUAGUGGUGAAAUGCGUAGAUAUCGGGAGGAACACCAGUGGCGAAGGCGACUACCUGGCCCAUUCUUGACGCUGAGGCGCGAAAGCUAGGGGAGCGAACGGG
rnacentral:rRNA from 1 species